GGGGGUGUAGCUCAGUGGUAGAGCCUCUGUUUAGCAUGCAGAAGGUCCUCAGUUCAAUCCCCAGCAUCUCCA